rnacentral:tRNA from 2 species
CGCUGUUGUUGGCCGAGGCGGCGCUGCUGCUGGUCAUCAGCGGUGGCCAGAGUGCCGGCUUGGUGGAGCGCCUGCGCGUGUUCAACCAGGGCGUCGACGGCC